rnacentral:lncRNA from 1 species
AGCUCUGAUUGCUUCGUCGGUGUUCACGGUUUCCAGAGCUGUAUUUUGAGCAGCAGCUUUUAAGUUCAUGUGAGAUUGAAUUUCUUUGUAACAGUCGUUAUCUACGAGAUCCUGACCGUGAAUUCCAUCACCGAGGACGUCGUCCACGUAGUUGUCAUCCAACACUAUAAAAAGUUUGAAGCACCUGGAAAAGCUGAAUCGUAGGAUGGACUGUCCGGAGAUGUACAAAAUACGUCGCUCAAUCUUCCAAUAUCAUCGGAUGUUCCCCUUGAAGAUGCUUGGCUACCACUUGCACACGCUUUCGUCGUACCUGGAUAGUGGACAAUUAGAAAAUUCGUAUGCGAUUGCAGGCUGCAAGGCUUACGAUCGCCUAUUGCGCUAUUCAAAGGGAAAACUAUCAUCUGUGGAAGCACAAAGUGCUCGAAUUCUUGGAUGCAGAGAAUUUGUCCUCGCGUCUGUAUCGCGCACGGCCGCUUCAUACGAACAAAUCGUAUGGCAUCGUUGGCCCGCACACGAAGACUGUAAAUAAGGUAGCACGCGAUCAGAACCCCAGUUCUGCCCAGCCCUGAAAAAGGUACAUGUCCUUUAAACUUGUCUAAACUAUGUAUGAUUAAUCGCUUGGUGGAGAUUCAGAAAUUUCCAUAUUUUAUUUUUGGAACCUGUACUAACCCAAAUCCUUGUUAAUUAAAGCUUUGAAUCUGUUCCAAUAGAAACAGAAAUAAAAUAUAAUGAAAAA